rnacentral:rRNA from 1 species
UACAGAGGUCUCAAGCGUUGUUCGGAUUCAUUGGGCGUAAAGGGUGCGUAGGCGGCGCGGUAAGUCGGGUGUGAAAUCUCGGGGCUUAACUCCGAAACUGCAUUCGAUACUGCCGUGCUUGAGGACUGGAGAGGAGACUGGAAUUUACGGUGUAGCGGUGAAAUGCGUAGAUAUCGUAAGGAAGACCAGUGGCGAAGGCGGGUCGCUGGACAAUUCCUGACGCUGAGGCACGAAGGCCAGGGGAGCAAACGGG